rnacentral:lncRNA from 1 species
AGCAGCAGAUUUCAACAAAACCCAGUAAAAUCAACCCAGAAAAAUCCAACACAAAUGGACUUCAACUCACAGCAAUAUCAACACAAGCCGAAUGAACUCAAAGACACACUAUAGUUACUUAAGAUCGGUCUUAGUUUAUUUGAAUCAAGAGAAAUGAAAUCAAUGAAGCAAGAAGAGAAGCUUCAAAUAAACAGUAGGGUUUUCAGCUCUCUAAUCUUUUCAACUCUCAAUUCUUUUCUUAUUCUCUGUUUUCGUUCUCUCAAGUUCUGAAAAUAUUUUUCUCUCUGAUCAGUCCCUAAAUUUUCCUCUCUGAAUUCCCCUCUUAAGUGACAAAGACAAUUAUAUAACCAAAGCAAAAUUCUUUUUUCCCUCCCCUUUAAUUAUUAUUACUACCCCUUUUAUUAUUACCCCACUCCUUUCUUUUACUUUUCAGCUUUUAUUAUUAAAGCAAAAAGUAGUCAAACGUAGACCCCACAAUCUCCUCUUUUCAAUAGACUACAUUAUUAAUCCUCUUUUUACUUUACAUCAUUAUGCUCCCCUUAAAUCACUCCCUGCUCCCCAUUAUUCAAUACUUUAGAGAUAUUUUAAUACUCCACCACCAGAUUUACUAAUAUUAAACCAUUCCCUAUCUUUCAAUUCCCAAAACACCUCUGAAAUCUCUUAACUAUUACUGACUUAAACCAAGCUGUUCAAAACUUACUAAUUAUCCCAAAACUAAUCUGAUUGAGAGCUAUAACCAAUUCCUAAGUAGAUGAACAAAAUUCAACAUAAACUAACCAAAGUUUCAUUCAUGAAUUCGAAUAAGUACAUGAGGGUGAAUGUUUCGACUAAUUAGGCUAAAAUAAAUGGUAAACAAGAAUAAUAUUGUACUUGAACAAAUACUCAUAGACAAUUAAGCACAAGUUCAUAGUAAUGGCCCUUCGGCAACACAAGAUCCCAGCCAGUCGAGUGCUAAUUCAUUCUUUAGAAAGGAGAAGAAAACAUUGGACUAACAACCUAAAACCGUAGGUUAAACUAAGAUGAAAUUAACAAACUCUUUGCCUGUGACUCCGUCUCUAAGUUAUUAAAACAGAACACUAAUAAACUCGUCUUUAAAUGGCUUUUCCAGCUUCAAUUCGGCAUUAAUAACAGUAAAGAGAAAAGGAAGACGAGGAGAGAUGAACCUGUUUAAUGUAUGAACGAGGAGAGAUGAACCUGUUUAAUGUAUGAGAAAUCUGAGAAUACUGGGCCUCAAAUCCAAACGAUAAAAAUAGCAACGGAAUCGAGCAAGUACAAUGACUAAACUGGACCACGAAUCACACUCUUAAACCUUGGAUGGCACCUCGAAUCUCAAUCCAGAUGCGAAACUCGAACCCAUUGCUUCUGACUUUGGAGCGAAGACCAACUCGAACUCGAACUCUGAUUUUGACAACUCGAACUCGAACUCGAAUUUGACCAAUCGCUGGUCAUUGGCGUGUGAGUGAUGAGUUCCGGUGAGUUCGCUGAUACGGAAGCAAGGCAGAAAACGAGAGAGGGUUGUUCGUGGUUGUUCAUGGACGAAGAAGCAGUAGGUGGUUGUUUGGACGGUGGGAAGUUGUUGGUGACCGAAGAAGGAGCAGAGGUGGCGGCUGUUGCUUCGCCGCUGUCCCUCGUUCCAGCGAGAGGGAGAUGGCUGGGCGCUGCUGGGUUUUUGAAGAAGAAAGGGUCAGUUUGGUUGCUGUGUGUGACGAUGGACGAAGAAGAAGGAGCAGCGGGGUGAGGGGUCGUUUGGGUCGUGGUGGCGGAUUGGGGAUCGUUAGGUUUGAGGGAGAUGGAGAAUGAAAGGGGGUCGUUUGGAGUAAAU